rnacentral:rRNA from 1 species
UACAGAGGUCUCAAGCGUUGUUCGGAUUCAUUGGGCGUAAAGGGUGCGCAGGUGGGUUGGCAAGUUUGAUGUGAAAGCCCCGGGCUUAACCCGGGAAUGGCAUUGAAUACUGCUGAUCUGGAGGAUUGGAGGGGGGACUGGAAUUCUUGGUGUAGCAGUGAAAUGCGUAGAUAUCAAGAGGAACACCAGUGGCGAAGGCGAGUCCCUGGACAAUACCUGACACUGAGGCACGAAAGCCAAGGGAGCAAACAGG